CUACUUUCUUGAUGCUAGGAAGACUGUAUAAAUGUUAUGUUUAACUUUUUCUUGUUCUUUUUCUAUCUGUCUUUUCCAGAGAGGUCAACUUGCAGGAACAUAUGCAUUUGGAACUUUUUACUAUUUCACACUACUAAAAUGAGAUUCUAGUGUAAUAUUUGUUAUCAAAUUUUAGUGCUUGUUCAUUACUUCAUUAGACUGUUAUAUUAAGAAUAGAUUGCUUGAAUAAAUAACUAUGUUUUUAUGUUCACGCAGCUGACAGAUCUUCUGGCUUUUCUGUAAGGUACCCUUUUAUAUGCGUUGAAUUAUGAAAUACAAGUCUAAAUGAUAGAAUUUACCUGUGAGCUUUCCAGUUGUCGAGGUGAACUGAUUAGUUAACUAAAUGCAGUGGAAUUGAAAGGGAAUUUUUUUUCUGUGGCAGCUGAGGUUGGUCCAUGGCGCAAAACUGGUUGUCUAGGUAAUGUUCAAUUGCCCCCACCUAUGGUUUUCAGUUGUUUAAAUGACCAAUUAUUGAAGUUUUAUCUUUCUAAUCUUAUGAUUCAUUUAAUUUAAUUUGUAGGCGAAUGGGCACAAAGUGAUGUCUGUCUAUCCACAUUAUGAUGUCUUGGCAUACUUUUGUCUUUGUUGAGGUUUAACUCUUAAUCUCCAAGUCGAAUUUCUUAAUUGCUUUUCUUUCAAGAUUCAAUUAAAAUAAUGAUGAUCUUAUUACAUAUUAAUGUCCGAGAUAAACUGGAGACGGUUAAGUAGAGAAUAAGAUCUCGUCAAUUUGCUGAUAUAUGUAAAUUAUUUUGGGUGUAGCUUUAUUGAAUAAGACCUUUUAAUUUUGCAGGGAAUUAUAAUUUUGCAGAGAAGUAUUAAGUUUUUAUUGAUCAAAUGCAUCCUAUCAAGUUCGAAGUUGGAUAUUUUUAGCACGUGUUUGGAAGA
rnacentral:lncRNA from 1 species